rnacentral:rRNA from 1 species
GAUUUCUGAACAUGUAUUCUUAACCGGCCACGGUUUCGUGUGUUAGUGUUGGGACUACUGUUCAUCCUUUUACUCUAUACUCUCUUAUCUUAACUGAUUGGAUGGUAUAGGUAAAUCUUUUACUUUGAACAAAUUAGAGUGUUUCAAGCAGGCUAUAUGCUAUGAAUACAUUAGCAUGGAAUAAUGAUUUAGGACUUCGGUUCUAUUUUGUUGGUUUCUACUACUGAAGUAAUGAUUGAUAGGGACAGUUGGGGGUGCUAGUAUUCAGUGCGAAGAGGUGAAAUUCUUGGAUCCACUGAAGACUAACUUAAGCGAAAGCAUU